rnacentral:lncRNA from 1 species
CAGAGGGAGGUAAUUGAAUCAUGGGGGCCAGUCUUUCCCGUGCUACUCUUGUGGUAGUGAAUACAUCUCAUGAGAUCUGAUGGGUUUAUCAGGGGUUUCUGCUUUUGCUUCGUCCUCAUUUUUUCUUGCUGCCGCCAUGUGCCUUUUGCCUCCCGCCGUGAUUCUGAGGCUUCCCCAGCCAUGUGGAACUCACUUACUGGACACCUCCACCUGGAUGUGCCACGACCCUUGGCCUUGCUGGGCCCAGGAGGACCUUCUGCUUCCUCCCAAACCAACAUCUUCUGUGUUACCUAUUCCUGUUCAUGAUGGACUUCUGAUGAGCCCGGUCACCCAGGCUCUAGGACGUUGGAGUUUGGAUCUUGCUCAUGGCUGGCGAAGUGUUUAGAUCCUUUUGGAUGUCCUUCCAGAAGAGCACUCCCCAUCAACCCGCGGGCAGCUGAAUUCCCACCUCAGACUCUGCUCCAAGGGCGCCGUGUCUACGGAGGCGACGCUGAGGAUGGCUUAUCAGGUUGGGUCACUCACCCCACCACGAGGACCUGACCUUAAAUUCUCGGUGCAUCCUAAGUGUGACCCAGAGACCGCCUGCGUCAGAAGCACCUAGAAUGCUGUGGAAGCACCUUCAAUGCAGAUUCCUGGGCCCAACCCUGGUUCCACUGAAUCGGGGUCAGCUGGUGGGCCCAGGAAUUGGCAUUUUCAACAGCUUCCAAUUGUACACCAGAAUACUCAAGCUUGUGACUCCCCUGCUCACUGUUUUCUUCAUCCUUUCUCACUUCCUGCUGAGUACAUAUGUAUUUUACUACUUUUAGAGAUACUUUUACAAUAAAGGCAGUCUUGAAAGUGUGUCCGGAAUUGGUGGGUUCUUGGUCUCGCUGACUUCAAGAAUGAAGGCGCGGACCUGAGUGUUACAGUUCUUAAAGGCGGCACGUUGGGAGUUGUUCGUUUCUCCCGGUGGGCUCGUGGUCUCGCCGGCUUCAGAAGUGAAGCUGCAGACCUUCGCGGUGGGUGUUACAGCCCAUAGAGGCAACGAGUUCGGAAUUGUUCCUUCCUCCCGGUGGGCUCCUGGUCUCGAUAGCUUACAGGAACGAAGCUGCAGACCUUAGCGGUGGAUGCUACAGCUCAUAAAGGUAGUGCAGACCCAAAGACCAAGAGAACAAAACUACCACAACGCAGAACAGAACCCUAGCGGGUUGCCGCUGCUGGCUCAGUCUCCCCCACCCCCAGUUUGUUCUCGGGACAAACCAUCGGUCUAGGAUGAACUCCGUUUUCCACUGGAAGGUCUCAAGAGGCUAAAGGCACCCCACGGGCUUCUCCCCGAGGAAGGGACUGAGGACAGAGGAGGGCCACGGUUGCAAUGAGGACAGCUCCGGCUCAAAAGCGUCCCUGGACCCUUGACUCUCAGCUUGUCUUGUCUUCCUUAAUAAAUUUCAGUUUGCGGGGGAGGGGAGAGGGAUAGCAUUAGGAGAUAUACCUAAUGCUAAAUGACGAGUUAAUGG